rnacentral:lncRNA from 1 species
AAAAAUAACAAAUAAUUUGUUUAUCCUAAAAUCUGAAUUUAUUUCUAGAUAUAGACUUUGAAAAAUAAAAAAAUCAUAACAUUUUUUUAUUUUAUUAUCACUUAUAUAAAAUCUAAAUGCCAAAAAUUAAAUAUUAAAAAUAUAAAAAAAGAAAAAAGAAUAGAAUUUGCCUUCCUUAUUUCACCUAAAAUUUUCGCGCUAACACCUCCAAUCCCGCGUUGAAUCCAAAAUCAACAAGGAAGAAGGAAAUAGAUUCGCCUCUGCUCGCCGUUUAUCUGCCUGUUGCGCCGCCACCCCUGCAGCCCUGCUCACCGAGGCGCCGCCACCCCUGCAGCCCUUCUCACCGAGGUCACCGCCCUUUUACGUCUGCAAAAGGAGGACGGCCGUUCGCCCUUCCUCUGCCAAUCGCCUAGGGCUUUAUCUGCCGCCCUCUCGCCCUUUCGCCUCCACCUGUCGCU